GCUUGCAAUCGUGCAAUCGUUCCCGAUAACAUGUUAAAUAUAUCGGGAGAGGAAAGUCCGAACUCCACAAGGCAAAGUACCUCCUAACAGAAGGGUAUCCCGAUUGUAAAAUCGUGGUAACGGAUAGUGUCACAGAAAAUAUACCGUCCCGUCCCGCUGUUGAAGCGGAACGGGGUAAGGGUGAAAUGGCGAGGUAAGAGCUCACCUUCCCGACAGUAAUGUCGGGGAUGACAAACCCUACUUGGAGCAAAACCAAAUAAGUCACGUGUAUGAGUAGCCUUUCUCAGUUCUAUGUUUGUAGAACCGCGUGGCGGGUAGGUUGCUAGAGUCCCGAUGCGAAUCGGGAACAAGAGAAAUGAUUGCAGUCCCGAUACUUGUUUUGCAAGGGUCGGGAAAACAGAAUUCGGCUUACAGAUUGCAAGCGCCU
rnacentral:RNase_P_RNA from 1 species